rnacentral:rRNA from 1 species
UACGUAGGGUGCGAGCGUUGUCCGGAAUUAUUGGGCGUAAAGGGCUCGUAGGCGGUUUGUCGCGUCGGGAGUGAAAACACCGGGCUUAACUCGGUGCUUGCUUUCGAUACGGGCAGACUAGAGGUAUGCAGGGGAGAACGGAAUUCCUGGUGUAGCGGUGAAAUGCGCAGAUAUCAGGAGGAGCACCGGUGGCGAAGGCGGUUCUCUGGGCAUUACCUGACGCUGAGGAGCGAAAGUGUGGGGAGCGAACAGG